rnacentral:lncRNA from 1 species
CAGGUGGGCAUUAUUUUGAGUAUACAUAUUAUACGAGCUUUCUUAAAUGAUAUGAUACUUAUGAUUAUGAAUUGAGUUAAUGUUACGCUUGAAACUAAUUGACUUGCCGAGUUUUGUUAAUAAUGACUUGUGUGUUACCCUCUACUGAUGAGACGAAUUCGGUCCUGCCACAAGCGGGAUUUUGUGCACAGAGGUGACUGUGAGCCGUCUAUCGGGUCGGCCGGUCACGGUACUUGAGAGGGAGGCCUACUUCUCAGUACCUUUGAUGAUGAGUAGUGGAUGUGGUACAUACUUAAUGAAUAUUUAAACUGCGCAGUUACUUUUUUGUGAUGUUUAUGAUUUGCGAAAUUGCAUGCACAGGUUCUUCUCUAACUAAAACCCAUGUGUGUUGCUUAAUGUGGCAAGUUCAAUUUAUAGCUCUAAGAGCAAGCUUUCUUUUGUUUUUCGGCAUAUGUCCACUGAGUACUUUGUACUCAGCCCUGCAUGUAUUUCUAAAUGUGCAGGAUAAGCGAGGAUGGAGAAUGGUCUGGUGCUGGCGAGGAUUUUGUUCCGAUGUUAUCCUUUUACCGUAUUUAUAUUACAUACGGUAGCUUUUUGAUGUUGAUGUUUAUAUUUUGGACUUAGUCAAGAAGUAUACUCUCGGCUAUAUGUCUUCAUACAUAUAGUCUGUACACGUUUUGCUGCGAGACUCUGUAAAUUAUAAACCUUUAUAAAUUUUUAACUAUUUUCGCUUUGUAAACUUUAUCGAGAAUCCCUGUACUUUUGAACUUACGAAGCCGAUAAUAUUUGUGUCUUUGAGAUGAUGUUAUUGUUGUUCAUCCUUGCA